rnacentral:lncRNA from 1 species
GGAGAGCUGCGCCCUGCGGUCCCCACCCGGCCUCUCCCCGGGGGUGUGGCCGCCGUCUGUUCGGUCACAGCCAGGCUGCGGCCUAAGAUCUUUCCUCAGCCUCGGCCAGUCCUAUCUCAGCAGUAGUGGCCGGUGUUAAGUAUGGUGCCUAGAAAAUUACAGACUAUUCCAGACCAGGAAGGAAAGUUGACUUCAUCUUCAGAUACUCAGGCUCCAGCCUGGAGACAUCUCAUCUCUCCUCUGUCACUCCUUCCCCAUUAUUAAAGUUUGUGGAUGUUCCUUAGAGUCUCCCAGACCUGUCUUGGCUUUAAGGUGAGCCCUCAUCAUCCUCUGCCUAGCCCUCUCCAGUCACUCUCCUUGCAUUCCAGAAGUCAUAGACCUACUCUGGAAGCUUUGAUGGAUCACUGAGUAGAAUAAUGAAAUCCAAAUCCUUCCCCUGGCAUUGAAGUUUUUCCAUGGUCUGAACUCAGUUUACCCUUCUUGGCUCCAAGUCCUCAGAGCGCUGUUUGCACUGUCAGAGUAGUGUGGUGCUGUUCACCAGCUUGGAAGGUUGAGAGAAGUAGCCUGAAAUCUGUUCAGAAGCAGAAAAACACUGC